CUCUGAAAGAAAAAAUAUACCUGAAAAAAAUUUCGGGACUCAGAAAAAAACAUUUUUUUAUUUCAUUUAUUCUUGUCAUUUAUUACGAGUCAAAACAAAGUUGUUUGUACAAAAGGAAUAGAAUAAUAAUGAGUUUUAGAGUGAAAUGUAAUACGAAAUCUCUUUAUGAAGAGGCAUAAGAAGCAUGUGUAAUCAACUUUUAAGUGUUGUUGGCACACCGGAUUAGUGCAUGGACUACUCAUUUUAACGCAGCGAUACAUUUUACAUACGUCGCCAAGUAGUGCAACUUUGAAAAGUCUGAAGCGAAGAAAAAUGUUAAGAAGUUUUGGCUAAAUGAUUGGCCCUGGUAGCAACAAAUCGUUUAGCGAAUACCCUGAAGUGGUUUUAGCGGACUCAUCAAAAACCACGCGCAGUUUUGUAGUGGUACUGUCCCGCUUCUUAACGCAGUGAUGCACGCCCUGAAUCUACCUAAAGCAACAUAAUACGAUUCACCAAGAGCAUCAAGAUCGGAUUUAGGUGGCAGUCUAACAUAGUAGUCUCCUGAAGGUAAACAAAGAAAAUUUUAUACGAAAUGCUGCUCACAAAAAGCGUCCUCUUCUGGCAACGCUGGAGUAGGACCGAAACCAUUUUCGAUCUCCCAAAAGCGUUUACCAAUGUUUGUGAUACGCCUCCAGAAACCACCCAGCAAUCCUAAAUUGGCCAACGCAAAUUAAGUCAUAGAACAAUUCCGGACCGAUCAAAAUAUCAAUACGAUUUGCUUUAAAGAAUGAUGGGUCAUCUAAGUUAAUGUUAUUCGGUAUGUUCCAGCCCUCAAUGCUGAUAUCAAAAUU